rnacentral:rRNA from 1 species
UACGAAGGGGGCUAGCGUUGCUCGGAAUCACUGGGCGUAAAGGGUGCGUAGGCGGGUCUUUAAGUCAGGGGUGAAAUCCCGGGGCUCAACCCCGGAACUGCCUUUGAUACUGGGUAUCUUUGAGUCCGGAAGAGGUGAGUGGAAUUCCGAGUGUAGAGGUGAAAUUCGUAGAUAUUCGGAGGAACACCAGUGGCGAAGGCGGCUCACUGGUCCGGUACUGACGCUGAGGUGCGAAAGCGUGGGGAGCAAACAGG